rnacentral:lncRNA from 1 species
ACUCUCUUCUGAGCUAACUGCUGCUGCCUUCUUUGCCUUUCUGUUAACUUUGAAGCAGUUACUGAGUAAUCAUCACCCCUAAGCCGCUAAAAGAAAUUUGGGUGACUUCUAAAAGGGGACUAAUGGGCCAUUGGGCCACCCACUCAUCCCUCUUCUUGCCGCUCUGGACAUUGUUUUGGGGACUAGAAGUGAAACAGCGGGGCUGAAGCCUUCAGGUAAGAAUGAAGCUCUCAACAGCUCUCCAGCAGACUGUAGCAGACCCGCCAUCAGCAUCAGCUCCUUGGCUGCUACAGAAAGGCAUUGGCGUCCUGACCCUUCUCCUCUGGCCCUCCCCCAUCACUCUUCCUUACCAGGACCCUCGAACUUAAUUUUCUAGAUGUUUUACUUGCUGACCUUUGUCCUAUACCCAAAGUGUCCCAUACCCAAAGCUCUCUCAGUGGGACAAAGUUUCUCACAGUGGGACAAAGUUGCUAUGAUCAUCAUGUUGCUACCUUGUUAUGACCAUUUUGCAACCAUGUCUUUGUUUCAAGAGGUUGUCAUGACACCUCCUUAUGUUUAUAGUCUGUGUCUGAACCCCUAUUUAUUUGUCUGCCAAAUCCCCCAUUUGGAAACCUCCUACUUCUGAAUUAUACAAAAGUCCUUAUUUCCUCUAUGCCCAAGGCCGAUGUCUUGAACCCCACCUUAGGAAGAGACAGCCCCGUGUACAUGAAUUAAAAAAAAAAAAGCUUACUUGGAUGAAUCUGGCUGUGUGCUUCGGGUCAAUGGUCUUUCUCUUCAAAUCUGUGUGAUUAACAAGAGCCUUGCAGGUUUUUAAAAAAAGAUUUAUUUAUUAUUAUAUAUAAAUACACUAUAGCUGUCUUCAGACACACCAAAAUAGGGCAUCAGAUCUCAUUACAGAUGGUUGUGAGCCACCAUGUAGUUUCUGGGAUCUGAACUCAGGACCUUUGGAGGAGCAGUCGCGGUGCACUUAACUGCUGAGCCAUCUCUCCAACCCCAGCCUUGCAGGUUUAAGACAGAAGGGGGUCUCAUCCCUAACCAAAGAGCUAUCUCCAAUUGACAUCUGCUUACAAAGGAAAAUUUAGUUUCUCAAACUCGGUCUCCCUGGCCAGUAGUAAAUGAUCGCUAAAAAAAAAAAAAAAAAAAAUGAACUCAGUAGUAUUUUUAAAAACAAAACAGCCUGAGUCAAAUUCUUGGAAACCACAUGAUAAAAAGACAGAACUGAGUCUUGCAAGUUGUCAUCUGACAACUUGCCACAAUCCCACCCCCAAUAAAUAAAUAAAUAAAUAAAUAAAUAAAUAACGUCCUUUCCUAGCAAGAUGGCUUAGUGGGUAAAGCCUGACACCGUGAGUCUGAUCCCUGGCUCCUGCGUGGUAGAAGGAGAAAACUGACUCCAGCAAGGUGUCUUCUGUCCUCCAUGAGCAUCCCGUGACACCUGUGCGCACAUACACACACAAUAAGGAAAUGUCAAAAUUGUUUGUGUGUUACAUGUUUUCCCUACAUGUAACUUUGUGCACCACAUACAUGCCUCGUACCCAAGGAAUCCAGAAGAUCCCUGGGACUGGAGUUAUAGAUGGUCAUAAGUCACCGCGUAGAUAUUGUGACUCAAACCCAGGUCUUCUGGAAGAGUAGCCACUUAACCACUGAGCUGUCUCUCCAGUCCCGGCUUAUUUAUUUAUUUUUUUUUAAAGAAAUACCUUCCUCCUAGCACUUAGGAGGCAGAAACAGGCAGAGCUCUGAGUUCGAGGCCAGCUUGUUUUACAUUACAAGUUCUAGGACAGCCAAGGCUACACAGAGAAACCAUGUUUCC